AGUCCGCGGAACGGGGAGAUCGUUGGCACCUUCGCUUUUUUAGGGGAACGGGGAUAGUUCGCCAUGGAGCCAGAGAGGGAAGGGACCGAGAGACACCCCAGGAAGGUCAGGAAAAGGAGGCAGGCCCCAAACAAGCUGGUCGGGGCGGCUGAGGCGAUGAAAGCUGGUUGGGAUCUCGAGGAGAGUCAGCCCGAGGCCAAGAAAGCCCGCUUAUCUACCAUUUUAUUUACUGACAACUGUGAAGUAACCCAUGACCAGCUGUGUGAAUUGCUGAAGUAUGCAGUUCUGGGCAAAUCCAAUGUUCCAAAACCCAGCUGGUGUCAGCUUUUUCAUCAAAACCACCUAAACAACGUAGUGGUUUUUGUUCUGCAGGGAAUGAGUCAGCUACACUUUUACAGGUUCUAUUUGGAGUUUGGAUGUCUUCGAAAAGCAUUCAGACAUAAAUUCCGCUUGCCUCCACCAUCAUCUGAUUUUCUAGCUGACGUUGUUGGGCUACAAACUAAACAAAGAGCUGAAGAUCUGCCCGAGACAAUGGAAGGGCCUUUACCUUCUAAUGCAAAAGCUGCCAUCAACCUUCAGAAUGACCCCAUCAUUCAAAAGUAUGGCUCUAAGAAAGUGGGCUUGACCAGAUGCCUUCUGACAAAAGAGGAAAUGAGAACGUUUCACUUUCCAUUACAAGUGCCUCACAUCCAAGGGGAGAGAGCUAACACGCAUCUCACUGGUUGCUGAAGGAGGCUGCUGUGUUAUGGAUGA
rnacentral:sRNA from 1 species